GAUGAACGCUGGCGGCGUGCCUAAUACAUGCAAGUCGAGCGAACGGACGAGAAGCUUGCUUCUCUGAUGUUAGCGGCGGACGGGUGAGUAACACGUGGAUAACCUACCUAUAAGACUGGGAUAACUUCGGGAAACCGUAGCUAAUACCGGAUAAUAUUUUGAACCGCAUGGUUCAAAAGUGAAAGACGGUCUUGCUGUCACUUAUAGAUAGAUCCGCGCUGCAUUAGCUAGUUGGUAAGGUAACGGCUUACCAAGGCAACGAUGCAUAGCCGACCUGAGAGGGUGAUCGGCCACACUGGAACUGAGACACGGUCCAGAAUCCUACGGGAGGCAGCAGUAGGGAAUCUUCCGCAAUGGGCGAAAGCCUGACGGAGCAACGCCGCGUGAGUGAUGAAGGUCUUCGGAUCGUAAAACUCUGUUAUUAGGGAAGAACAUAUGUGUAAGUAACUGUGCACAUCUUGACGGUACCUAAUCAGAAAGCCACGGCUAACUACGU
rnacentral:rRNA from 1 species